AUGCGGCGAUCUGGAGCAUGGUGGCUGAACUGGCGGUGUACGAUGGAAACGGGAGAUGAGCACGGAGGUUUGAGCGUUGGCGUUAGAGUGAAUGAAGAGUCAAUUUCUAAGUUCUUCUUACCACUUAAUUUGCUUCUGUUUAUGAGUUUUGUGAAUGCUUGUAUCCACAACUUUUCUAAUUUAAUUCACUGGCUUGUAUUGUUGGUUUGGAUUGAUGAAUAUAUUUGGAAUUGUGUUUUUGUGUAA